rnacentral:rRNA from 1 species
UGAGGGAUUUUCCACAAUGGGCGAAAGCCUGAUGGAGCAAUGCCGCGUGGAGGAAGAAUGACUUCGGUUUGUAAACUCCUUUUGCGAGGAAAGAUUAUGACGGUACCUCGCGAAUAAGGCGCUGCUAACUACGUGCCAGCAGCAGCGGUAAUACGUAGGCGUCAAGCGUUAUCCGGAUUUAUUGGGCGUAAAGGGUCCGCAGGCGGAUUAAUAAGUCUAAUGUUAAAGAUCUCGGCUUAACCGAGGGAAGGUAUUGGAAACUAUUAAUCUAGAGGCCGGUAGAGGUUACUGGAACUUGUCGAGUAGGGGUAAUAUCCGUUGAUACGACAAGGAACACCAAAGGCGAAGGCAGGUAACUGGGCCGGCCCUGACGCUCAGGGACGAAAGCGUGGGGAGCGAACGGG